CGCACUUUUAAAAAGGUGCUGGCAGAUGUAAAUCCGACGUGGCGUACAGGCCACGGCCUUCAGGCUUUGGGAUUGC
rnacentral:ncRNA from 1 species